rnacentral:misc_RNA from 1 species
UUAAUGGCACAAUUUCCUGAAAACUGAUUUGAAAAAGAGCAGUUGGAUAAAGAGAAAAUCCAUAAGCAUAUUGAAAGUACCACUAAAUAACAAAAUACAUAAGAUAAUAUCACAUCAUAACAACAGCAUUCUAUCAAGUAAAAGGGCUCUGAAGCUUUAUUUCUCUGGUCCCAGAUUAACACAAUGUCAGGCACUAACACUCCUUUUCCCUCUACUUAUUUAUUAUUUUUUUUAUUCCUGAUAAGUAAGCUUCAUUGCUAAAGAAACUAAAAGAAGGGGACCCAAUCCGCUACAGAAUCUGUCACAAGACUACUAGGAGAAAAGAAAAAGAAGCAGAGUUGCAGAAUAAGGCAGAGCUAAGCUAAUAACCUUAGAGACACCAACUAAACUGAAGACCAAGUGUAAA